CUUCUCUUAAAAAAAAAAUAAAAAGAUGAAAAGGGGAUAAAAAGAAACCCAACAAAAAAAAACCCCUUUUCCUUCUGUUUUAGAAUCAACACUGUGUAUUGGUUCCAAGGCAAAAGAGAGGUAGGAAAUGGGGGUCACUGAGCUAGGAAGUAUCUAAGGUCAAAUUUAAACCCAGGACCCCAUGUCUCUAGGCCUGGCUCUCAAUCCACUGAGUCCAUCUGUUCCCUGAAAAGGGGGUUUGAAGGAAUGGAGCCCACUGUGGGGACAUAAUGUCCUAUAAUCAGGCAAAAAAUCAUAUCUGCCCUAGACUCUCCCUGUUGUCCACCUUCUCAUCCCUCUAGGGAGGGGAUUGAGGAAGUGUGAGUUUCAGAGCUGAUUUGAUCUUUCGGGGAGUUGAGUUUCCAGAGAUUUUAGAGAAAUCCAAAGGAACGGCCAGGAGAGCAUUUAUGAGGCGUGUUUGCCUGUACCUCCUUAAAUAGAGGAUUUGCAAGGAGCUACCAGAUGUCUUUACCCUCUUUACACCUUUUACACCUUUACACCCUUUCCAGUCAGAAGGAGUAGUAGGGGUCCUGGAAGACACAAGGUGACAACUCCUAUUCUCAAGAACAUGCCAUUUCAGCCUUACUUUGGGGGUGCCACCUAAGUCUCCAAGGAGAUUUGAGGAAUGUUUACAUUACAAAACAACAGUUGGUCACAAGCCAUUCUUGUGGAACAUUCCAAAAAGUUCUAGAAUGAAGGUAAAGUCAGGAGUAUAAACCAGGAGACUGGAGGAACCUCUGCCUGUGAGGAGGUGGAGGUUUCACUUUGUCAUCUUUCAUGAGCUGAUUAUCUUAGUUAAGAGAAGAGAGUAAAAAGAAAAGAAUCCCUUCUAAAUCAGAGACGCCAUGAGUCUAAAAAGCAAGAAUUUUGAGGACAGUCUUAGUAAUUAGAUAUCAUGCUGAGUAACAUAUAGGGUAAGAAAGCUUUAAAAUACUGCUGGAGUUUGGACACUGAGGGAGAAGACAUGACAGGAGAUCAAGGUUACCAGAGGCACGAGACCAUCAAAUUUGCUUGGUGAGCUAUUGUUAAAAUUUUGGGAUCCACCAGAGAGAUUUGGAAGGGUCAGUGGUCAGAGCCCACAGAAGACCAAGAGCCAGUGUAUCAGGUAAGAGUCAAGAUAAUUGUGGAAAGAAUCUAGAGAGGGACAGAGAAUAUGGUUCAGGUGGGAGAGGGAUUUUUCUCAGCAACAAUCUAGAGAACAUCUAUUCCUGAUGAUAAGAUUUUCAUCUUUCCCCACAGGAAGAGUUUCCAGGCUGUACUCUAGGAAAGGAGACUUUCUCCAAAGUGAUGAAUCAUCUUGGUCGGGGAGUUGGGUUGGGAAUAGGGAGCAUUGGGUGGGAUUGGAGAGAGAUUUUCUACUGAUACUUGUAUUCUGUUUUACAGGUGCUGGGUGACUGAUGGCUUUUAGAUGAAGGAAAACUGGACAGAUUAUUCCUGUGGAACACUGCCUCUACUUAUAUUUGCCUAAAGGACUUGGUAUAGUCCCAAAAGCAAAUGGUUACUAGGAAUUACUUUAGAGUUCAGUGUUAAAUCUGUGUUUAUGUGUAUAUGUGUGUGUACUAUUUAAAUGUAUGUGUUGGAGUUUAUCAUAUUCAAGAAAACUUUGAUGUCUUUCUUUAGCAAUGAGAAAGUGGGAAUGAAGUAGAAAAUCAGAAACUACAUAAAGUUUCUAACUCUCCAAUGGAGGAAUUGAAUGAAUGCUGACAUUUUAGUAGGAAAAAUACCAAAUGGCUUCAUGAAUUUGCAUCAGUAUUUAACUGGGAAGAGGACUCAUUUGAAUUGGAACACAACAGAUUUGGGAUAAUUGAUUUUAACUAAAAAGAGAUCAUGUAGGAAUGCAUUCUUAUUUUCUUUACCUAUCCCUUUUUGAGCACAGAUGAUAUUAAGGAGUGGAAAAGCCUACUGUUGACAACUGAAGAUACAAUAGACUGCUAAAGAUAAGUCAAAAUAGGACCUGAAAUGGUUUUGAAUAGGUAAACUAGAUUUGAGGAGCAAUAUUUCUUGUUGGCAAAGGUUAAAGGGAUUAAUGUUGGAUUGUAAGUGGCUAGAACAUUCAUUUUUGUUCUCGUAUUUAUUUGUAUGUUAUCUUUUGCAGUUAAUUGAUAUUUAUCUUGGGUUUGGACUUCAGGAUACUAGUUCCCUUGUACCUGGAAAAACAGGACAUAUGAGAAUUGAAAGGUGGUCAUUCCAUUCUACCUAGAACUUAGAAGCCAAAAGGUCUGACAGAAAGCAGCACACAGAAAUGAAGAAUAAAUUCGACCAUAAAUUCCAGAACGAGAAGGUGCUAGAGAAGAUAGCAUGUGAUUCUGGGUCCAAGAGAAACCUUUAGAACCAGAGCCAUCAUGCUAUAUCAUUUAGGACAUCCCAUUUAGGAUGAUGUUAAUGGUCAAAAGUCUUGGUCAACAAAGCAGACUUGGAAAAUAAUAAGGAAGUAGGCAUUUAUCUUCUUUGCUAACUUUAGCAGCAUUGUCAUUAUCUCAUCAUUCAUUUUCUGUUGACACCCUAUUCCCUUACAGCUCAUCUGAAUGGGGUGCGGUGCCUAACACACCCCUCAACCAUUCAUCUUGGACAACAAAAACGAGUCCCAGGAAAAGGAAUGGCGAUGAUUCCUGUCAUUGGAACAAGGAUGUUAUUUUCUAAUAAAGUUGGAGUUCACUGAUUAAAACUGGCAGGACCUUUCACAGGAUACACCAGCUCCCAACAGUCAUUAGAUUUGUCUUAUGGUUCAGAAAUCUAACCAAAUAUCUUUCGAGACAGACUAAAUAGACACAGGACAACUUGUGAACUUCCAUAUUAUUUUCAGAAAAGUUGUAUCUGAGUAUGUUUUAUCAUUUUUGUCUGUUUAAUUUGACUGACAAGGUUAAAGAGUGUUGCCAUAUAAUAUAAAGCUUGGGAAUGUCAUGUUAUUUCAUGUAUAAUAUCAUGAUGCAUAAUAUCAUGUAAUAUUAUGCAUCGUGAUGUUAUAUGAGCCAUUGUGUAGCAUGUUGUAGGAUUUUGUGUUUUAUGUUCUAGAAUAAUGUUAUAUCAUUGUGUUGUAUUUCAUGGGCUGUAAUUUUUAUUUUAUGCCUUGUUAUAGUGUAAAUCAUGUGAUGGGCAUUAUUUUGUACCUUAUGUUUUAUUAUUUUGUGUUAUAUUUUAUAUUUAUUAUAUGGUCACAGAUACUGUGGACUGGUUCAUAGAAGGCUGACUUCAGAGUCAAGAAGACUCUUUUGAAGGCUCACGACUGUGCGACCUGCAGAGAGUGACUGAAGUUCUCAGAGAAACCACCUUUAUCUGAGACUCUGAUUUCCAGCCCAGGCGCUGCUCUGCCCAGGGAAAGGGAUUUCUUCACUGGGAGGCCAGCACUGCGGCAGAGUCUGAGACCAGAGCCAGGGAAAGGGCAGAAGCUAUGGACACUGAGACAUCCAACGUGUCACAGCUUCCAUGUUUGUUGGUUACGAGGUGAUGCACUUUGCCUACUUCCAUGACUGAGAUCACAUCUUGUAGGUCAUAGUUGAUAUCAUUUAAUGUAGGUUAUAUUAUGGAUUUUAUGUGAUGCAUUAUGUAUAUUACUCUAGAAUGCAAAAAUGGUAGGUUGUUCUGUGUGGUAUAUGAUUUUCUAGAGAUAUACAUGUAUUUUGUAUACAUGUAUAUAUGUAAGUGUAUAAAGACAAAAGAUAUAGCCUAUGUGCACAUAUAUGUGUAUAUUAUAUAUAUAUAUAUAUAUAUAUAAUAUACAUGUAUAUAUUGUUGUAUGGAUAAUAUAUGUAUUUCAACAUGCAUUUGUAUGUAUAAAAAUAUGGAGGCAUACAUGUAUAUGUGUAUAUAAUACAUCCAUGUGUAUUGUGUAUAUAGUAUAGACAUAUGUGUAUAUGUCUAUUCAAUAUACAUGUGUGGAUAUAUAUGUCUAUAUAAUACAUAGCUAUGAAUGUAAAUAUAUUAUUAUUUGUGCAUAUAUAACUCACACACGAGUAUAUUGUGUGUAUACAUGUAUUGUGCAUAAAUAAUAUGUAAAUGUAAGUAUAUAUAAUAAAGUUGCACAAACAUACAAACUACAUGUGCAUAUAUAGCAUGUAUAUUUGUGUAUUGAUAAUGCAUGUUUGUGUAUGUUCUUGUAUACAAACAACAUGCAUUUAUAAUACAAUACAUGUAUGAAUAUACACAUGUAUAAAAUACAUUUAGUUAUAUGUAACACAAUGUGUGUAUUUAUAUACACUACACAGGUAUGUGUAGGCACAACAUGCAUGUAUUAUACAUAUUUGUACAUAAUCCACCAUGUGUAUUAUAUGUCCAUGUAUGUAUAUGCAUAUAAAAGAGGUUUGUGUAUACAUAUAUGCAAAGCAUGUGUCCAUGUGUAUGUAUAUACAUGUAUGUAUAUGUAACACAUACCUAUAUAUGUGUAUAUAAAUACAUACUGUGUAUAUGUAUAUGUAAUGCAUAGUUAUAUGUAUUUAUGUAUAUGUAUAUAUAUAUAUAUAUACACACAUGUAUAUAUUAUAUAAUAUGUUUAUGGGUGUGUUUUAUAUUACUAUAUAGGCUACAUAUAUGUAUGCAGUACACAUACAUAUACACAAUGGUUAUAUAUGUGUAUAUAAUAAACACAGAUAUAUGUAUAUAUAUGGUACUUGUCUAUCUAUGUACUAUGACAGAUGUGUAUUAUGUCAUGUGUGUAUAUAACACAUGGAUGUUUGUGUGUAUUUGGUGUCUAGAAAUCCAGUGUGUAUUGUUUACAUGUGUGCACAUACAAGCAUAUAUAGAACAUUGUGUGUAUGUACACUUAUAUUUUAUAUUUCAACAUGUUAAGUCUUGGAUUUUCCUUGGUUGUAUAUUAUUCCAUUAUUUUUAUGUACUAUAUGUCUGAUUGUGCCAAGUUCUUUAUCGGUUAUUUUGCUACUACUCUAUUGAAUAUGGUAUGAUGCACAGUUGUGUUUUAUGUUGCAUACAUGCUACAGUGUAUUUUGGAUAAUUUGUAUUCCAGUUAUUAUUGGAAUUAUGUAUUAUCAUCUAUAGUUUACGUUGUAUCUUAUUGCAUGUUACAUGUAGUAUAAGGUGUCACAUUGCCUUGUUUUAGGCUAUGCUGUACAAUGUUUUAUGUCAUGACGUGAAACGUUAUAUCUUGUGGUUCAUUUGUGCUAUACAUGAUAGAUUACAUAGUAGAUGGCCGUGGUAUAUGUUUUAUAAAAUAUCACAUGCUUAUUAGUGUGACAUUGUUAAAUCGGUUGUGAUUCAUGUGUUGCUGUAUGUUAUACUAUAUGUUUUAUGUUGCUAUGUAUUACGUGAUGUGAAGUAUAUUUUUCUUGUAUGUUACAUAUUCCUUAAAUAAUUCAUGUAAUACAUGUGUUAUUCUGAGUUACCUAUGCUAUGGGAUAUAUAUUAUACUAUAGCUUCUGCCAAAUGUUAUAUACUAUUUUUAUUUGCUAAAUUAUAUGUUAUAUAGAGAUUUUUGUGAUGGAUUCAUAUUUUAUGUUACCCCCAUAAGUUGUGAUCUAUGUAGUAUGAUAUCCGAUGCUGUAUUUCUGCUGUGGUGUAUUGUGUCUCAUAUUUACUGGGUUGGUUUAUUUUUCUUUUAUUUGUCUACAAAUGGCUAAUUGAUGUCAUGUGAAGAAGAUAUACUCAUGAAAAAAUACAGAUACCGGAGGGAAACCUCUUGAUAAUCAAUAACUAACAUUUAUAAAGUGCCUGCUAUGGGUAGGAACUGUGUGCUCAAUGCUUUACAAUAGUGUUUCACAUUAUUCUCCUGAAUCUAGAAGGUAGGUGCAUGGGGAAAGUAUGUGAGUAAGUCAAUGGAGACAGAAGGAGCAAUGUUCGGAUAACAAGGAGGCAAAUAUUUUUUUUAAAUAGAGAAAAGUUUACAACGCUAACACAGAAUUUUGCUCUUUUGGUGAUGAGGGCCUACAAUUAUACAGAAAUCUGUUGGAGCUAAAACCGUGUUAAAAGCAGAAUAACGAAUCAUUUCCUUGCUUUCCUUUAUAAUAUCAUUAAAAUGGUAGGGGAAAAAACAAUAAAAGGAGAAGAUCCUUUUAUCAGUCUUUUCUUUGGUAAGGCAAAAAGGAUGGGAAAAGUGGUGAGGAGGAAUGUCUACUCCACUUUAGAAUUUGUGAAAAAAGAAAGGAAAAUGGGGAAUAUCCUAACAGGCAUUUUCAGAGAGCAGAUUGUAAAGGGUUCAGAGCAAAUAGAAGUAGGGUUUGAGGUACUAAAGUUCAAGAGAAAAUCUAUAAAGGUUAAGAAGUUCUCAAAAACGAAAUGUUGAAGACUCCAAGAAAAGACAGCGUGUCUGAAAAGACUAUUAAUACUUUUAAAAACAUUGUUUGAAUAGAAACAAGAGAGCUUAACAGGAUAUAUUUAAAGGGAUAGAUGUCCUGUAAGAAUGAUCUUAGGAGAGCUAAACCUCAAAAUUAGAUGAAUUUGGCAAGAAGCUUUAAUGAGGAAAGAAAAUUUAAACAGACUUUAAAACUGAUGUUUGAGAUAGAUGGUAUGAUAAUAGAUUUUAGAAAACACAGAUGCCCAACUUUUAUUUUGUUUCAAUUGUUUUCCAACAAAGAAAAUAUAUUUGACAUGGAAAGGUAAGGAAAAAAUUACUAAUAAGGAAUUGAUACUCAAGAUAAGUCAAAAUAUAGUAAGAUAUAACCCAAUUUUCUUGAUUUAUUAAGGUCAUAGGUUUUGUAUGUUAUACCUGAGGAGUAGGAGAAAUGAUAGGUAUGGUUAAAGAACUACUGAUAGUAAUUUUGGGGAAAAUAUGAAAAAUGGGAGAGUACAGUAAGACUGAAGGUGAUGAAACAUUUUUUAAAAAGCAGGGUUACUAAACUAGACAAGCAUAGGAAUGAUGAACAUUUACCUAGAUUUUAAUAAAGCAUUUUAUGAAGUAUUUUUGUGGAAAAGAUAGAUCAGAGCUAGACAAUUGUAAAAUGAGGAGAAUUCACUUCUUUGGAUUUGGAACAAUCAAAUCCAAGGAGUAGUUGAGAAUAAUUUGAUGUCAACUUGGAGCUGGUUAUAUGGUGUGUUGUGUCGAGAAUUUUUACUUGUUUUUAUGCCAGUCAGUAUUUCCGCAGUUCCUUAAAUAAACUGGUAUACUGAUCAAAGUUUCAGACCAUGCAGAGUUGAGAGGAAUAAUUAAAAGGCCAAAUAACAGAAUCAGGGUUCAAAAAAUCAUGAUUGGAUUAGAUAUUUGGGUCAAAUGAAAUGAAAUUAAAUAUAGGGAUAAAUGUUAAAUCUUACUCUUCACUUCAAACAACCAACUUUAUAAGUACGAAAUGGAAAUCAUACUUUGGCAGAUAAAUAUGUCCCAUAACUGUUGUAAAGUAUGUAUUAUUUCAUCUGAUAAAUGCUAUUUUACUUAUGCAUUGUAUUAUGCCUAUUAUAUGUUAUGUAUUAUGCUUUAUAUAUUACAUGUGAUAUUGGCAGUAGUAUAAUCUGUUACUCUCCUUUAUGCCAUUAGUUUUAUAUCUUAUGUUGGAUAUUAUAUUCCAGGCAUCAUAGUUUGCUUCAUUAUCUGUUAUAUCUUAUAUGGGUUGAAUUCAACCAGCAUAUGUGCAUUAUAUACUGUAUACUUUAUGGCAUAUUAUAAAUAAUUAUAUGUUACAUGCUUGAUUUUGUGUUAUGAUGUUGCUUAAAUUAUAUGCUGUGUAUUAUGUGUUAUGAUACUUUGUAAAGGCAUGGCUGUAUUUUUAUAAUUAAACAAGUUACUAGACCCUUUUUUGAGAAAUGACCUACAUCAUCAUAUUGUAUGCUAUCAUCCAGCACGUUAAAUGUGUUGUGUAAUAUCUGAUAAUCCAUAGACUGCAUGUUAUGUGAUUUCUUAUAUCAUUUGAUGUUAUCUAUUUUAUAUUUCUUGAAUUGUCAUGUAUUUUUAUGGUAUGUGAAUGUAUGUAUUUAUAUAUGUGUAUGUAUAAUCAUGUGUAACCAUAGAUUGCUGUUAGAUGUUCAACAACUAUCUCUAGAGGGUAAAAAGUACCCAGAAUACACAUUUAAGUUUUAAUCUAUAUAAUUAGCAUUUUCUCUAUAACUUUAGACAAUCAACAAAACAAUAAAUUCACCACUGAUUUGUACUAUGUAUUGAUUUUUGAGUUGUAAUUGUUUAUGCUGAAAAUUUAACAAUCAGCUCUUGGUGCUAGUACCAGCUGACUCCAUCCUACCCUUAUGUAUAAUGGAAUUUUGAAGCCUUCCAGGAGCACCAGGAUAAAGAGAUCCCAAAGAAACUCAAGGAAGGUAGUGGAUGGAUACAUACAUCUAUUUCCCUAAGUUACCAUGUUUCCUCUUCCUUUGCCUUCAGAGAGAUUUCUGGCCAGAGAUGGGGUUUUUCUCCCACAGUUGAGGCAAUGAAGGAUGGAGAACCUGAAUAAGAGUCCUUGCUUUUUCUUGGACUGAAGCAGGAAGCAGACCAGUGUUACAUUGACCCUGUGACUGCAAACAGGGGAAAGUAAUGUGUGAGCUAAAAAUUCUUUGUGCAAUCAUUCAUGGAAGUGGGACAUAUUGAGAGAUCACACAUGUGGUGUGAGCAGAUUGGAGCAGAGCUGGGAACAGCCAGAAGAAACAGAGAGCAAGCAGGAAGUAGAGAGCAGCCAAGCCCAUUAAUACAGCUGGACUUGGUAAGAUCAAAAGGAAUUCCAUGUGACAACUGCAUUUCCCCUUAUUUCCUCAGUGUUUGUUGAGGAACAGUUUGAUGGCUAAUUAAACCUGUCCAAUCACAAUUCAUUUCCAUUCAUAUCAAACAGAGUAAGAGAAUGGAUGGAGGGAUGGAAAACCAGCACAAGUUGCAACAGUCUCACAGGCUGUUAUUUGAACCUGCUUCAUUGUUCACUAGAGUUUCUCCUAGGUUAUCUGAUUGAAUAAAUCACUUUGCCAUUAAAAUUUAA